rnacentral:misc_RNA from 1 species
UGCCCAAAAAGUUGCAUGACUUUUUGGAUAAGCUAGCGGAACCAAGUAUAGACAUCUUAUUAGAACAAAGAUCGCAAGCCAGUCAGCUUGACGAUCGUGCAUACAAUGCAGGGACUGCCGCCUACGUUUCUCUUUCUUUGAUGUUUUUGUAAGCGCUCACGCCGCUCGCGCGGUUUUUGCAAGCGCUCACGCACGUACGCCCUUCGGGCUGUGCUCCGCGAGGGCCUCGCAACGGCUCGGACGCGCUAGCGCGCUGUACUGGCGCCUGUUCGUCAAUGCUGUUUGCGCUGGCGUCUUGAGGGCUUGUAGCUCAGUUGGUUAGAGCGCGCGCUUGAUAAGCGUGAGGUCGGAGGUUCAAGUCCUCCCAGGCCCACCAUAUUCCUUAUUGCUUUCGCACGUACGCCCUAUCGGGCUGUGCUGCGCGAGCACGCGGCAUAAGCCGCGACGGGCCAAGUCGGCCCCUUGCGAAGCUUCGCUUCGGAUACCUUACGGGGGCGUAGCUCAGCUGGGAGAGCACCUGCUUUGCAAGCAGGGGGUCGUCGGUUCGAUCCCGUCCGCCUCCACCAAGGUUUUUUGAAUUGGUUGCCGGGCGAGAUACAAAAACAUCAUUUAAAGAAUAAAGUUUGCAGCUUGUUGGGCUUUGGUCCGACGGUUGCUUGUUCUGUAUGAAAUUGUGAAGAGAAGAUAUGUCCGGAUCUUUCGGAUGUUCAAGGGUUGGUGCCUUCGGGUGCUUAUCUGCUUAGCCUUAGGGCCAUGAACGCUGGAAGAUGUCGCAUGGGGCGCUCAUUAAACCCCAUGCCUAUGAUUGGCCGCUUAACCGCAGAGCCAUCGGAUUUAUCUCGAGAAGCUGGUCUUUUUUGUCAAAUUCGUCGAUUGCUGAAUGGUUUGUGUUCCGUUGGUAUCCCCCACGGGAGCAAGGUGUUCGUGAAGGCAAGGAUGGAUAUUGGCAAUGAGAAUGAUCAAGUGUCUUAAGGGCAUUUGGUGGAUGCCUUGGCAUGCACAGGCGAUGAAGGACGUGAUACGCUGCGAUAAGCGUCGGGAGGUGCG